CGAACGGGUGAGUAACGCGUGAGGAGCCUGCCUCAAAGAGGGGGACAACAGUUGGAAACGACUGCUAAUACCGCAUAAGCCCACGACCCGGCAUCGGGUUGAGGGAAAAGGAGCAAUCCGCUUUGAGAUGGCCUCGCGUCCGAUUAGCUAGUUGGUGAGGUAACGGCCCACCAAGGCAACGAUCGGUAGCCGGACUGAGAGGUUGAACGGCCACAUUGGGACUGAGACACGGCCCAG
rnacentral:rRNA from 1 species